AUGAGGCUGGAGACUGGAAUAACUGUGUUUCUGAUUUUGGGGACUGUGAUUGAUGCUAAGACCACCCAGCCCAAUUCCAUGGAUUGUACUGAAGGAGAAGAUGCAAACCUGCCUUGUAACCACUCUAGCAUCGGUAUAGCUGAUUAUAUACACUGGUAUCGGCAAAAUCCCAGUCAGAGUCCGCAGUAUAUAAUUCAUGGCUUACAAGGCAAUGUGACCAACAACAUGGCCUCUCUGACCAUCGCAGCAGACAGAAAGUCCAGCACUUUGAUCCUGCCCUGGGUCACCUUGAGAGAGACUGCUGUGUACUACUGCAUGCUGAGAGAGGCACAUUGA